GACGAACGCUGGCGGCGUGCUUAACACAUGCAAGUCGAGCGGUAAGGCCUUUCGGGGUACACGAGCGGCGAACGGGUGAGUAACACGUGGGUGAUCUGCCCUGCACUUCGGGAUAAGCCUGGGAAACUGGGUCUAAUACCGGAUAUGACCUCCUAUCGCAUGGUGGGUGGUGGAAAGAUUUAUCGGUGCAGGAUGGGCCCGCGGCCUAUCAGCUUGUUGGUGGGGUAAUGGCCUACCAAGGCGACGACGGGUAGCAGACCUGAGAGGGUGACCGGCCACACUGGGACUGAGAGACGGCGCAGACUCCUACGGGAGGCAGCAGUGGGGAAUAUUGCACAAUGGGCGGAAGCCUGAUGCAGCAACGCCGCGUGAGGGAUGACGGCCUUCGGGUUGUAAACCUAUUUCGGCAGGGACGAAGCGCAAGUGACGGUACCUGCAGAAGAAGCACCGGAUAACUACGUG
rnacentral:rRNA from 1 species